UACGGGGGGGGGGCAAGCGUUUGUUCGGGAAUUACUGGGCGUAAAGGGCUCGUAGGUGGCCAACUAAGUCAGACGUGAAAUCCCUCGGCUUAACCGGGGAACUGCGUCUGAUACUGGAUGGCUUGAGUUCGGGAGAGGGAUGCGGAAUUCCAGGUGUAGCGGUGAAAUGCGUAGAUAUCUGGAGGAACACCGGUGGCGAAGGCGGCAUCCUGGACCGACACUGACACUGAGGAGCGAAAGCCAGGGGAGCAAACGGG
rnacentral:rRNA from 1 species